GGGGAAUAUUGCACAAUGGAGGAAACUCUGAUGCAGCGACGCCGCGUGAGCGAUGAAGGCCUUCGGGUCGUAAAGCUCUGUCCUAUGGGACGAUAAUGACGGUACCAUAGGAGGAAGCCCCGGCUAACUACGUGCCAGCAGCCGCGGUAAUACGUAGGGGGCGAGCGUUGUCCGGAAUGACUGGGCGUAAAGGGUACGUAGGCGGCCAGGUAAGUCAGAUGUGAAAGGCAUGGGCUCAACCCAUGUUAGCAUUUGAAACUGCUUGGCUUGAGUCAAGGAGAGGAAAGUGGAAUUCCUGGUGUAGCGGUGAAAUGCGUAGAUAUCAGGAGGAAUACCAGUGGCGAAGGCGACUUUCUGGACUUAGACUGACGCUGAGGUACGAAAGCGUGGGGAGCAAAC
rnacentral:rRNA from 1 species